CAGCCGCCGCGGGAAUACGUAGGGUGCGAGCGUUAAUCGGAAUUACUGGGCGUAAAGCGUGCGCAGGCGGUUCGUUAAGACAGAUGUGAAAUCCCCGGGCUCAACCUGGGAACUGCAUUUGUGACUGGCAAGCUAGAGUCUGGCAGAGGGGGGUGGAAUUCCGCGUGUAGCAGUGAAAUGCGUAGAUAUGCGGAGGAACACCGAUGGCGAAGGCAGCCCCCUGGGCCGACACUGACGCUCAUGCACGAAAGCGUGGGGAGCAAACAGGAUUAGAUACCCCUGUAGUCCCUGUCUCUUAUAC
rnacentral:rRNA from 1 species